UGGUAUUUAAAACAUUUUGGGCUGUAAGGUCGUACGGUAUUAAUAAAGUUCGGUUGAAUUAACCAAUCACGUUCUUGUUACCAGACUGAUAUCCUUCCGCUGUGAAAGUAGUUCUACUUUUAUAGUGGUGAUUAAUAAUUUAAUUGGGACUCGUAGUGGUUAACAUUGCCUUUAACGACUAUUUCAACCUUUUAUGAAAUGACAUUGCUUUUUUAAUCGAGCCAACUUGCCAGGAAAGUUUUCUAUAGUGCUGUCGCACGGAUGGAUAUGAAGUCUGCAAGGAAUUGUACAAUCACACAGUGGACUUGGCAGUUACUCGGCUCGUGCAGAUCGUAAGAGAAAAGAAGAGCUGCCAACCAGGUUCAUCUAAGUCAUACAGCAGGGAGAGGUCCACUGCAUCUGCUGUUAUGCAAUGGGAUUCUGCUGCGACGGAGGCGCAAAUCAGAUCUGCAGCUGCAGAUCACUUGAAGCAUGCCCCGGGACGAGUUGGAGGAGGAGGUUACAAUUAGGUCUUGUUAGCAACUAAAUUUUUACUCUUUUCUAAUUUUAAAUACUUUUAUAUAUUAAUAGUUUUGUUAUUUUCGUUUUAUUCAAUGUUCACUGUUGUACAAUGUAUUUUAAAUGUGUUCGUGGCUUUUCAUCAAAGUUCUUGAAUAAAAUUGGAUAGUGUGAAUCUUAAA